rnacentral:lncRNA from 1 species
UUUUUUUUUGUUUUUAUCUAAGUGUCGAUCCUAUUACAUAUACGUCAAAAAUAGCUUUUUGUGACAACAAACUUUUCUAAAAGCACAUACUAUUCCUAGUGCAAAUGUCAAAGAACUUGGUGGUUAGUAUCCGAGAUCCCAAAUUUAAAUUCUAAUUGAUUCACAUUUCCAGCUAAAUUUAUUUUUUAAAAAAUAAACAAAGCGAGUAGCAUUCUACUUUCUGUAGAAAAAAAAUAACCUUUUUAAAAGCAAUUAUGGUGAGAGCGGCUCAAAUCUAUAUACAUAUUUUUAUGUCUUCACAAAAAUUACAUGCUGUGAUUAGAGACAUGAAUUUGUGAGGUGAUGCAUUAAAUUAAGCUUCUCAUGUAACACCUUGCAUGGAGAGUAAUUAAGAAAUUGACUGGUUAAAAUGAAGAGAGGUGAGAGAAAAGAGUAGAACAUGACCGAGGAAAUGCUCAAAAUAUGAACUUAUAAUGUUUCACUUAUUUGAUUCCCUAUUAUGUUGUUUAAUUGUACAAAUUGUUAAUAUUGUGCCAAUUUUGGAUUAUUUUUUGUAAUUUUCUCGUCAUGCUUAAUCAUGUCUGGAUCAUGCAAUCAACUUUCAACUUUAAAAUCAAAUUAACUAAAAAAGCAAUUUAUCCGUACAACCAAAAAAUCAUUAUAAAUCAUACAUCGCAUCAAUUCAAAAAUUAAUAUAUUUACGCUAGUUUAAUGAUUAUUUUUGAAUAUUAAGCCUGCUAUCGUUAGGUUCGGGGUUAAGAAAAAAUUAGUUAUUCCAGAAAUAGGGUUAAGUUUAGGGUUAAGAUAGGGUUAAAGUAUUUUUUUGUUUGGUUGGGGGUUGGAGUUAGUUCAGAAUAGUGAAAAAUAGUGUUUGGUUGGAAUAGGUGGGAUAAGAAGGAUAAUGGGUUAUUAUGAACAUAAAAUAGUGUUUGGUUGGGUUUGGUGGAGUUAGGUGAGGUUAGUUAACCCGGGAUAACCCAUUUGAGGUGGAAUUAGCUAAUCCCACCUAUUUUUAGAAGUGUUUGGGAAUAAAAUGAGGGUUAAAGAGUUAUUCCACCCCUUAAUCCCCAACCAAACGGAGAGGAUAGCAUUUUCUGAAUCGAAAAAUUUGAAUAAUACUAUACUUAAAAAUAAAUUUUAUAAUAUUUUACGAACUAGUAUACAUGACGGCACUUAAUUUAUGGAGAAAUAUAGAUCCCGACGAGUUAAGUAUGAAUGUGUGAUCUAUAAUUUAAAGAUUACAAUCAAACCAUUUAAUUCAUAGUUUGUAAAAUAUUAUAAUACUUGUUUAAUGGGAAAAUAUGUUAAAAAUACUGUAAGUCUUUACACGUGUCAAACUGUUAUUGGUUCUUUUCUCCUCUGGUCUUGGAUCUCGACCUUAUGGCACGAGUCCUCCAUGGACCGAUCGACCCGACCCCGCGCCGGAUCCCCGAGAACCGAGAAAGUACGGGCGCCCGCCCCGACAUCCGCGCCGUCGCGAAUCUCGAGGCACGGAGCUUUGACUCGCGCCGUCCAAUCCGGAGAUCCGGUUAUCUCACCGCCCUGACAGUUCCUGCGGAGAAACUAUGUCCUGCACCGGGUGUAUAUGUUUACUCACGCACCGCAAUUUUUAUUUGUUUGUUAAAAUUUUAAAAACCAAAAUGUAGAAAAUUUGAAAAGUACAUACAUUAAAAUUUCUGUACUAAAAAAAAAUUUAUAAUAGUGAAAAUAAUAAUUCAAUUUAUAUUUGCAAAAAAAUUGUGUCUAAUUUAUUUAUUUUUGAAUAAAUAGACUAUUUAAAUCUUAUAGAACAGAUUUAAUGUUAAAAUUUUGAUCAUAGAAUUUUUUAAAAAACUGUAAUUAUACACCCGGUUCACAGAAUAAUGUCCACUCGUGGCGCGUACAAUAGCGACCGGGCGUAUAGUUCGUACAUCUCCGUCACAGGGAGCCUCGUCAGUGGCCUCAGAUGUAAUUUGGGCGAAUAUCGGGGGGUAGUUUCGGAAGAAUAUUUCCCCCCACCGACCACCACAAAAGCGACGCUUUUCCUCUUCACCCCCCACUCUCUCUCUCUCUCUCUCUCUCUCUCUCUCUCCUCACGCCUCGCUCUCUCUAUUUCUCUUUUCGCCCUUUUUCUCUCACUUCCUCUCUACUCCAUCGCCUCUGCCGACGCCGGAGUAUGUUCUCUCUUCUCCCCUGUUUUUUCGUUAUUUUGUGAUUUUAUGGUUUUUUUUUCCUGAUAUGAUAUUGUUGAGUAGAUUUGCUUGCUUCGUUAUUUUUUAAAAAAUCUCCUUUUUUUUUCGAUUUUUUUACUGUUAAAUGGGAAUAUUUUGGGUAUUUGAUUUGGUUGUUGAAAUGUUACUCGCUUCGGAUUUGUUCCAUGCUUAAAAAAUGGUUUUUUUUUCCCUAUUUUUUCCUGCUUAAAUUAAUCUAUUUUCCCCGAUUUAGGUCUUGGAUUGGUACAAAAACCCUUGGAAUUGUGCAAAUGGUACGGAAAACCUCUUCUUCAUUGGUAUCAAUAUAUGUAGUUGUGGCAUGAUACUUGGAUUGAUCUCCUGUAGAGUUGAAAGGAGUGGCCUUUCAACUGUUCGACAAAUUGCCUCAACGGUUUCGGCUCUUUAGUUGUGGCUAUAAGGCGGUAGCGAAGACGGGUUCUCUUUGUUGUGUGGCCGCGAGGCCGCAUGGCCCCGGCACGGCGAGCCGAGAUUGGUCCAUGGGCCCGAGCGAGCCCUUUUGGCGGGCGAACACGAGCUUCUCGCCGCCCCUCUCGCGGAGGUGGGACUAUCGGCUUCACUCCGAAGGCUUUUCGUCCUUUGGUUCUCAAGGCGAAGAUGGAGGCCCGAAUUAUAGCUCAUCUAUGUCUUCUAAUAAGGGGAGUAGUUGGGAAAGGGUUGAGCUUCUUCCUACCCAUCCUUAUUCUGCUUCGGAUGGUGGUGCUUCCGAUUUUAGUAGCCCAAAUGAUAGUUUCCAGCGUCGGCAAUUGAUGCAGUCCCUUGUUCAAGGGGCUAACAAUGAAGAGUUUGUGAGAGGUAUGCUACAUUGAUGGGUUCCUCCUUAGUUAUCCUUUACUAGUUAAAAUUUUCAAAAUUUAGCCGAAAUCUAGUUCCUUUAGUUUCUUUCCAUGUAUAACAGCAAUGGUCGAAUAUAUUACUAGUGUUUUUGUAAAAGUAGCUAAUACUAUCUUCUUUCUUAUAUUCUUUUUAUCUCUUGGGAAUUAUAACUUAAUGUUUUAGAACUAAGAAUAAGCCUAUUGCGUCAAUAUAUAUUGUUGAUGUCUUCUGGACCGUCCAUUUGUAUGCACCUGGAUUGAACAAUUAAUAAUAAGCUAAAUCGUGUGCAAUAGGUCCUUAUCCAAGACCAAGGUUUCCAUGACUACUUAUGUGAUGCAAUCUUCGUUACUCAGAAUUUUUGAGGAUCUAUUUUGCAUGUUGUAAUGUUUCUAAUCUAUUAAUAGGCAUAUUGACAUGGAAAUUUUUAUUUCUAGUACUGCUUGCUCCUAUUGUAAGAAAGCUGUAACAUCUAUUUCUGGUUUGGCCGUUUUGAAUGAGGUAAGUCUUGUUUGAUGGUGUGGAUUUUCAAUGUGAAAUGUCCUCUCUGUUUGCGGUAGUCAGUGCAAGCCUUGGACUCCCUUCCUCUAUGCUGUGUAUUUGGUGUUAAAUCAAUUCACCCCUUAAUGUGUUUGGUGUUUUGAAACUAACUUUCUACAAAAAUUAAAUGCCAAAAUGCGGGACUGAAACAAAUGAAUGCUCAGCUGAUUCAUAGCAAAAAUGGAAAUACUUGACCAUAUGAUCAGGAAACUAAUUUGGUCAGAUAAAAAAAUCUGUAAUGAACAGUCUAACUUGGAGAAGCUAAGUAAGCACCUAUAAGAGUUUACCAGGAAAAGGCAUCUAAGGGGUACAAUCAUUCCAUUGUGACAUUUGAUCAUUUCAUAGUACAGCAAAUUAAUCUUCUGUUGAAAAUCUCUGACUCUCUGUGCUCUGCUUGGUCAGUGUCUUGGGUAACCUCAACCUUUUGCUUUACUUUGAUUUGCAUGUAAGAGGAAAUAGAGAGGUCUUGGCUCGAGAUGGCCUAGAUGGUGGUUUUUGUUUGCAUUUAGGAAGCUCAUUAGUUGAUUUUUUAAGUUUGCCCUUGCUAAAAAGAUCCGGGCCAAUUUAUUAGGCUGCAAACUGCAUGGUAUUCUAGUAGAAUCGCAUUGUUUGCAGCAUUAAUGGCUUGCACAUUUCAAAAAGACAUUCUGUUGAUGCAUAAUGGACUUUUUGGUUUGCUAAUUAUGGUUUAAAUUGACUUUUAAUAACUAGACAUCCAGAUAUUCCUAUAUCAGUUUUGUGCUUUGUACAUGAAGGAAUGUGUUGUAUUUUGAACGAUCUCCAUACACCUAUAAAUAGCAUUGGUUUGGCAAGGAGUAGAUUUUAGUUUAGGAUAUUGUGCACGUGAUAAUAUUUUUAUUUCUAAAUCUCUGUAGAGUGCAUUAAGUUACUUUAUUGGAGAACUAUGGGUUGUCUAAUUUGAUGUGUUCGCCCUCCUUUCUGUCUAGCUUGAGCAGUAAACUGAUUCAUUGGAUAUUCUUACUCAUUGUUUCCUCUGGCAAUAUUAACCAGAUUUGCAAGAGACUAUUGGAAUAUUCUUUUGUCCAUGUGCCAUAUGAUUGGCUAUUUGUUAAUCGUAUGUUCUGUUUUAAAUUACAUCAAAUUUAUAUAGUUAUAAUUUGUUAACUAGUUAUUUCAUGUUCGUUGAUUUUGAUAUUCUCUUAAGGGCAAAGCACUGUUACAUUACUUUAUUGUCGUCAUGACUAAUUUCAUGCUUAAACAAAACUUUACAACUUUCUAGUACUCGUGCAUUAAUGAUUCUUCCUUAGCCUCCUGAUUUUCAUCUACAUGUCAAUGAAACACUGCAACAUAUGUACGGUUGUAAACAGCUGUGGAAUUCAGUUGUGAGCCUAGCAUUUUCAAAUAGCACUUCAAGCAUAUUAACCACUACGCACGCUUAUGUUAUAAUCUGCACCUGAGAAAACCAUGCACGUUUAUUGUAUAUGAGAAAAUAUGUACUGUCGGGCAAUCAGUCUAACAACUUGUAGGGUUGAACUCUUUUUUAAUUAUGGCAUUUGGAUUGGAUAGAUGACUGAUUUCUGUUCAUUUGAGAAGCAACAUAGUUGUUCUAAUUUUUCUGUGAUGCAUGCAUCUCUUAUUCCAAGUUCUUUCUCAUAAUUAUCAACCUGCAUUCAAUGGUUUUUUAUGCUGUUUAUGAUAUUAGAUACACGUCUCUAUUCUAUCCAUUGCCUCAAGUUGUUUUUCCUGUUCCACAGAACUAUCAUUUGAGCCUCUGGCCUUUUCAACAUUGGUGGAGGUAAAUCAGUUUCACCUUUCCAUCUACUGUUUUUUCCCUCUGUGCAAGGCCUUUCAUGAUUGCCUUUUUCUUCUCUUUCCGUAGGGAACUUCAGGGCUUCCUUACAGUGGUGGUUCAACUUCCUCUCGUUCUGAUGGAAGCGUCGAAUACGAGCUUCCAUUAAAAGCACUUCGCCACAACACCCUAAACCGCCGCUCUUUCAUUUCAAAGCCUGUUCACCCGCUCUCUUUCCCCGACCACUCUAUUGCAUCAUCCAAUGCCACUCAGAAUUCUGAUUGGAAACAAAAUCAAACUUGCAAGGAGCUUUGGUCGCCUAAUACUCAAACUGAAUCUUUGCAAUUUAGUAGUACAAGCAGUAUUGAUUUAACAGAUGCUUCUGAAUCUCUGGAAUCUAUAUUUCUCAGCCCUUCACGAAUGAAUUCCAAGUAUGGAAGCACCAAAUGUGGGCUUUGCGAGAGAAUAUUAUCUAAGCGAUCACCGUGGGGUUCUCGUCGGAUUGUUCGAAGUGGAGAUAUGCCAACCACCAGUAUUCUAUCAUGUGGACAUGUUUAUCAUGCAGAGUGCUUAGAGAGAACCACGCCUAAAACACAUAAACACGAUCCUCCUUGUCCUCUAUGUGAGAAGUCAUUGGGGAAUUUCUAUGAGCAGUGGGCGGUCUGCCGGUUAAAGAAUGGGCUUCCAAGGUUAAGGUCGUUAGGGGAGGAAGGGCCUUCGAGGGUUUGGAGCUGUGCCCAGGUCGGUGAUUGUGUUGAAGGAGCUCUACAUGGGCCUAAGAGUAAUAGUAUGUUGGUGUUGAGCCGGAAUCGUCUAAAGAGGCAUUUGAUAUUGAAGGGUAAUUCAGGUAAGGAUAGGGCAGAGAGUUCGAAGGGAAGUGGAGCCUGCUCACCUCAAGUGUUUUAGCUAGUGGUUUUUCAUGUUGCUGUUGAAUGGAAGCUCAGGUUAGGAUUGUAAAUCUCUGGUUGAUGGUGGUCAUUGUUUUCCAGAUGGGAGGUUGUGUAGUUGAUGAAAGUUUCCUAAUUUAGAUUGUCCAUAAGAAUUUGGUUCUUGUAUUAGAAGCUUUUUUUUAUCACAAAUCACCUGAUUUUAAGUAUUAGCUUGUCAUUAAGCUUGGAUUGCAUGUCCUGAAUUCUGUUCGACAAAAUCCCAACUUAAAAUGAGCUGUUUACAUAUCCGUGUCGGGGUUAUAUUUCUCUAUCUUUUUUGGGCUCGUGAUAUAUUAUUUUUACUAUUACCUUGCAUUGUAAAAGGGAUUCUGGAAUUUAACUUUAGGUAAAACUGUAGUAUACUCUCCAACUAUAGCUUGUUCUAUUGUAGAUAAUUUGUAAGUUUUUUGGUCGCUGUCACUUAAAAGGUAGUAUUUCUUGAUUCCGUUGGACUUCUUAUCCAAGUUACCAGCUGUGAGGAAUUGAUGGUAAUUUCAACAUGCCUUGGCAUUUGACCCCUGCUUGUCUAUGCAAUUCCUGCUAAUUUUAAUUGCACAUUCGCUGAAUGAGAUGAAAUUUCUCAAAUUAAAAGAAGUGAAAGUAAGGAGCCUGUUGAAGAAACGCAAAAAGUCGAAAGACCUAUGCUUAACCGAUUCAUCAUUAGGUACGUCCUCUUUUUACUUGUCUCUUACCUCAGCUUUCUGGAUAUGUCACUUACAUUAUGCAGUUGCAUAUCUAUCAAACUCUUGGUUGCUUAAACAUCUGUUUGUUAUUAAUCGCAAGCGAUGUGACUGACUAGUACAAUUUGUCAAUCUAUGGCCUUAAUUUGUUAUCAGAGUGCCUCAUCCUUUAUUUCGCAGCUGUUGCCUCUCUGUAUGCAUAUGUGAGACAUGAGAUGCUCCUAACUUACCAUCUUGUCUCGUGGGUCCCUUUAUCAUUCUAUUUAAGAACCAUCCUCUUCUAGUAUGAUACAACUGGAUAUACUAAAAGUAGUUUGCACGUUCAAUCAGUGGCUUAUCACAAGUCUCAUCCAUUUACAACUGCUUUGCUUAAUCCUGCUACAUAUUUUACCUAAUUCAGAGAUCUAUAUCUUCCUUACGUCCUCGAGCUUAUAGGGCAGAUAAUUUUCAUUAUGGUGCUUAAACUUUUUCGACGAUUGGCCACGAUACUAGUGAUUCAAAAGUAGCAUUCCCCAGCUGCCCAAGUGUGUGUCUAGGGGACUGGAUGUCUCAAAUAAUUGGAGUUGGGUAACAAAAGCGGAUUUACGCUGACGCCACAUGGUACCCUAGCAUGCAGUGAAGGCUUGGUGCGUCUGAGUCGUGCAUCUGUAAUCUGUGAGGGAUAAAUGUGUAAUGUGUGCACAACUUUUAACCUUAUCAUCAUGUACCUGAUUCUUGUUCACAGAAUAAGGUUGAGGAGGAAAAUGGAUACGACACAGGAUUUUAGUGGUUUUAGUCAUAUACCCAUGUGAUCUUCAUUGUGGGGAUGGAGCCCAUUAGAUAGAUAGCAUCUGCCUAAUACUCUUUGCUGAAGUGCUUUCCAUCUGGCUAUGGCAACAAGUACUUAACAGGAAUUUGUGCUCUCCUAGAAGCUUCAUCUCCUCCAAAGCUUAAGCAGGAAACUCUAUCCUAGGAUUUCAUCAUGUGGGAAACCUUCCAUGAGCUACAUUAUGCACAAGUAAUCUGUGGAUCAUUGAAGAGAUUUGGAUAAAUAUUGGACCCAACUUAUGUUGACAUUUGCUGCAGUGUUCAUACUACAAUAUCUUUCUGUUCAAACUGUGUUGAUUAAAUUCUUGAGAAGAUUCAGUUGUUGCCGUAUAAUUCACCGCGAAUUACUUAAUCAUAGACAGCUGGAUACAGUUAAUGUGCGUGUGAUUCAUUAAAUAUGAAGUACUACAAAUCUCAAGUACAUAUGUAUGUGAUGUUCUUCAAUGCUCUUGUUUUGAUAUGACACUGCAUGCUAUGUUUUCUGUCAAAAGCUUAGAUUUUACAGUAGGUAUUUCCGAGUUUCACUCACCGCCAUACUGAACCGAACAGUUUUAAUCGAAACUUAGUGGGUGUAAAUUUAAUGAUUUUCGGUUGCGGUUAUCAUGAUUCAUUCUUGUUCGAUACCAACCUGAAACCUUAACCUGGGACAAACCGAACCCAUCGAAUAAUGGGAUUAAUGCAUAUUGUUAUGUAAAGUUUUGGUAACUUUGCAUGCAUUAGAACAUCAUUAGGCGAUGGAAGAAACAUCAGGAUUUGGACCGAUAUUUGGGCUGGCGAAACCCCCCUGAGCACCUUAUUCCCACGCAUGUUCGCCCUUAUCAGGCACAAGAACGCCAGAAUCUCCCAGUGCUGGACUGCCACCGGCUGGAGAUGGCGCUUCAUCUGUCAAGGCUUCUCGCCGUCAAUCUCGGCUGAAAGCCGUAAACUGAUUUCUCAGUUCAAAGACCUGCUCUUAAGUAGAAGUCCACAAAACUUACCUGAUAAGCAAUAGGAGGUGGACUACGAAUUAGCAGUUUACUGUGAAAUCCCUCUACAACUUUGUUUCCGACAUUGGACUCAGGGAUCCGGCUAACUAUCUUAUCUAGCGACGGAAUAUCCCUCUCAAAAUCAAAACCUUCAUUUGGUUACUGCUUCGGAAAAGAUUACUCAUCGCUGACAAAUUGCUAACUAGAGGAUUGAGGGUGGAUCAACACUGUGUCUUCUGCGCUUUCAACACGGAAAAUUGCGGCCAUCUAUUCUCUAACUGCAUCUUCACUCCUACCUUUUACUUACCACGGAGGGGCAGGUUUCAUCGACCGAUACUCUAGGGGACGUCCGAGACCUUUGGAUCGUAACUGCCAACACCACCGACACCGCUCUGAGAUCAAAACGCUUAAACCGCCUAGCUGGAAUCUGGUGGAUCGUAUGGACGGAAAGAAAUAACUCUAUCUUCCGUGGAAAGCCCCACAACGUCCUUCUUUCAUCCGAAAGGUUGAGACUUUUGUUGGCUGAGUGGUCCGUGUACCACCAACCACCUGCGUACCACCUUUUGUACUAUUUUUUUCAUUUUCUUUUGAUUUUUUGUUCUUGUUUUCUCUCUCCUCCCCUGUUGCCUUUCACCUCCCCGGAAGCCUUAGCUGCUUCCACCCUGUAACGCUUAGUUCACUGUCACUUAAUGAAUGAGGCGGGUAGUUUGCUAUCUUUUCUCAAAAAAAAAAAAAAAAAAAAAAAAAACUUUGCAUGCAUUUUAUUACCCAGUAUUAAUUUAAAGGUCCAGAUUUGAAGUUCUUGAGGCCUGUAUCUUUGACUCUGUACAACCAUUCCUGGUCAAAACAAAUAUUUAGAGGGAAAUGCUCCUGUAAAGGAGAAUUGAGAAUUGGUACAAUUAGCAUUAGCACAAAUUACCUUCUCUUUGACAUUCCACUGCUAAUUAAAAAUUAAACUAAAUUAUAUGAUGGUUUUUUAAUUAAUCCUGGUCCCAGAGAAUGAAGAUACAAUAUCACCUUUCAUAUGCUUUUGUCGGUGGCUCUCUGACUCCUCAAACCACUAUGAAAAGCCAAAUCUACCGCAAAAGAAGUGUCUCUCACUCUGUCCUAUUUUAUUCACAUGGAUUAAUUGGUGAUGAGAAUUGAAUAUUAAAGUUUCUUUUUCGAUAGUUUUAAGAAGGGAAACUGAGGUGUACAAUUUUUGACAAGUGUCGACGGCCGAAUGCUGAUCUCAAAUGAAGAUUUUCAGUACUAACCAUUUUUUUUAAAAAAAGAGUCUCUUUUUCCUUGCUGCAGUAGAUGAUGAACCUUUUCAUUUGGAGUUUCUAUUUUUUAAGCUUUAAAAGCUUAGUUUUAGAUUCCUGCCACAGCAAAAGUUUUAGAAGAUUAUUGCUUCUCGAGUAGAUAAGUCGUUUCAAAAGUUAGAUGAAACUGAGCAUUUUGCUUUGAGAAAAGAGAGUUUUGCGAAUUAAUUUGUUUAUUCUUUUUCUGGAAGCUUUAUCAGUUUUUUGAAAUUUUAUUGAGUUUUAGUGGUCAUGUGGAACACCAAGUACUUUGAUCACCUCAUAUGCUUGCAAAUACUUUGGAAAUUUCUUUAUUAUUAUAUAAGCUCAUUUGCUCAAACCAUUUAGAUAGUCAACCUGAAACAAUUUGGUAAGGAGCACUUUAUUCCCAUUGCCUCCCCAUUGCUGUGAACAAGACUCCAUUUCUUGUAAAAGCUUGUGAAGCUCUCAAUCUAAGAGAUUGAAUUCAAUCAGAACCACCGACUGUCCCUAGAGCAAGUGGCAAAAGGUUUGGUAGUUGGUACCUGAGACCCAAGUUUGAAUCCUAGUUGAUUCACAUUUCCAGCUAAGUUUAUUUCUAAAUGAAAUAAACAAAGCAGAUAGCGUGCUACCUAUCUCUCAAAAAAAAAGAAAAAGAAAAAGAAAAAGAAAAAAAGAAUUCAAUCAGAACCUCAUGAUGUGCUGCAAAGGUGGAUUGUUAGUUACAGAACUCAAAACCCACAAGGAGGCACUGAGGUUUAUAAAGUUAUCCAAAGGACACUCCCACCCAACCUAUUCAGAAAAAGAAGGUUCUUUCUCUCUCUCUUCUCCCUAGCAUAUGAAGUAACAAGAAUCACAAUCCUUUAGUAGUUAGAAUUUAGAGGUGUGGGUAAAGAAUGGCCCCCUUUGUUUCUUGGAGGAUCAAAUCUUGAUUCCUCUUGUCGAAUUCGGUUUCUUUUUCUUUUCUGAGGGGAAUUCUACUUCCAUUUGAAGGUAUUUAAUGCUGUAUCAGUCAUAUGUGAUAUCCAAAACUUCCAAAGAAUCACUCAAAUGCACACUUUUACAUGUGUUUUUUUUAAACAGCACUAAAUGAGCCACUAGAGGGAAAAGUUUAAGAGGUACAAGCUCUUUUUGAGCAUGGAGAAAGAUGCUUAAUAAUACCUGCAAUUGAUGGGCUCCAACAGGUAAACAAUGCUCCUGGGGGGAGAGAAAUUAGAGAAUAGUUUAUGUAAUCUCUCAGAAGUUGGAAUGAUGACAUUGCUAGGAUUUCAAAGGUAGAUUACACAAAUUUUGCAUUUACAGCCUAAAUAAUUUCUCUUGAUACGCACCGACACGAAACUGACUAUACAAGGGAACAACUUAGCCAUAUUAGGCCCAGAGGGGACAAGAUCAUGUGAGAAAGAACCAUAUAAGAUCAAUUAAUACGAUAUCGAUGUACGAUUUGCUCUCAAAGUUGCUGUAACUUUUGCUCAAGGCAGGGGAGCUAACUAGUGAUAUACCUUUCUUGUAACCACAUCUUAAUGUGUAAAUGAAUAAGUAUACAGCAUAGGCUAAACACAGUUUGUGGAGGAUAAAGCAAGCUCACUUGUAACAGUGCACAAAACACUGUUGUGCUUUUAAUGACAUAUUAAUUUUCUGAUUUGCAGCACAAAAUGAUAGUUUAUGACCUAAGCAACAGUAGAAAAGGACAUAGGAGAUAGGACCCAAAAAUCUUUGAGAGAAAUUUAAGCUGUGGUCAUGGAUAUGGAACAUAAAUGGCUCUUCACAACAACCAAUUAGCACAUAGGAUUUAAAAAAAAAAAGUGAAAAGGCAGAGUUAGAAAAGUUAGUUAUAUAUCAGAGAUAAUUAUGCAUUGGCUUCAAAAUGGGAAAAAAAUUGGCAAGUUGAUUAAUAACAGUUGAAAUGGUAUCUUGUUGAAUUCCUCAAAAAGCGAAGAUAAUUAACUUAAUCUAUAGGGUAUGAAAUAUAUUAGUGACUAAUAUAUGGUAAAUCGAUAUUAAAUAAUAUAUUGCUAUAUAUAUUUGUUCUUCCAAUAGCUCCACUUGAGAUGACAAAGUGGUCAGAGUACAUAUAAAGGAUUUAACUUACGAAUAUCUUUAAGCAUUUCCCACAAAUUUAAACAUUCUCAAGAAUAAAUACGCUUUCAACACUUUUCCAACUCAAGAACUGAGACAAGCUUGCAACUUGCAAAGCUAUAUAAGAGGAAAAAUUUCUGAUGUAUGAAUCUGAUUUUCAAAAUACUUGAUCUUGGUUUCUCAGAUUAGAUUCAUAAUUAACUCCUUUUCUUAGAGAGAGAAAUAUAAGAAAAAGCUGUUCAUGUUGCUUCUCAUAUGUUCUUGUUAUCUCAGAUGUUCUCUUUGCAUGCUUGCAUAUCAAUCACCCUAACUUAGUGGGCUAAUGACAAAUAGAUGUAUAAAUAUAUAUAUGUAUAUGCUCAUAUUAAUCAAUUUGAACCUUUGCAAAGUUAAUUGCAAAUAGAGUUCAUCUUUAAACAAAAGUAGUAAUCAGACUUUAAAAUGCUAUCUUGAGAAUAACUUUUGGAAAAUAAAAUUAAUGCCCUGGUGGUAGCACUUUGACUGUUGAGUGUGGCCUCUUAUCUACAUUGGCCACUGAAUCAAAAAUUAGUAGUGCAAAAAAAAAAGAAGAAAGUUUUCCUGAAUGGUGACUAUUAGCUACAAUUGGUAAAGUUCAGAUGUCUUUUGAUGAAUUAAAUUUGACUCUGCAGAUCUUUUCAAACUCCCAUGAUCUAAUUAUCUUGAUUUUCUACUCAUAAUGGAAAAUAAAAUACAUGUGUUGUGCCUGAGGAUCUUGCUUCAUCUUUUUAUCUUAGCUUUAUCAGAAGAGCAGGUUUCUUGGUUAUCUAAUUAAGGUCCUACCACUUCAUUUGCUGCACAGAAACAAAAGUUUCUGCCAAUUUGUUUUAUACCUAACAGAUUUCAUAUCAGAUUGACUGAUCUAAUAACUAUAGAUUAAGUUCACAUUCAAAAAAGUUCACAACAAAUUCUCCCUCUCACUCUUCCAGUACAUAAAAUGCAUUUAAUUAAGGGCAAUAUUUUUGCUAAUUUAAUAUCUUAAGAUGGUAGUUGUACCUAAAAGAGGUUAAGACAAUUUAUCUGAACAGAAUAACAUAUCAAACUUGAAAUAAAAAAAUUGAGGAGGAUCUAAAUUUGAGAUAGAGCUAUAAUAAUUUAUUAGCUUCAUAUUGCUACAACCAGAUGCAACCUUAUUCAUGUCAUGCACUCUAGAGUCUUCACUUAAUCUGCUUUCACACUGACUUAAAUUGCUUAAAAUAGAUCAAAUCUGAUCCAUCUCCAAAAGAUCUAAAGUUAAUUACCUAUGUAAAUAUGGACUGUUUUUAGUUGUUAUAUAUAUUUCAAGUGUGAGAAAUUUGCUGACAAGCUGAGCAGCCAUGUGGUUACAGUAACAUAGAGACAAGUAGGCCAGCAUUCUGAGGACUAUUUAAUGGCAGAGAUCUAAAGAUGAAAUUAUAAAAUGAUUUCUUUUUUUUUUUUUUAAACAUAACUACAUUAGUCAAAAUAUUUUUGUGUUCAUAUUAUGUUUACCAAUCUCAAAAAGUCACAAUAGGGGGCUCGAUUAGACUUUGGUAGGAAAGAGAACCUUCUGUUUAGAAUGUGAGGGAGCUUUUACUCUUGUCACUUCUCUAUAUUCCCUUCAGUGGGUCUACAUCUCUGUACUCUGCAGGAGCAAGGUUUUGGCCUACAUCCUCUAUAGUUGGUGAGAUGUCUCAAAUGAUUUAAUUAAUCUGCAAUAAAAAAAAAAAGAAAUGGAAAGUAGAAAAAUUACUCUUGGAAGUCUCACUAAAUUUGGGACGUUCAGUCCCAUUCUACAGGAGUUUCUGCUGAAGUGCUGCUCGAUUAGAGUUGUUCCGAAAAGCUAUUAAUAGCUUUUCCAUUGGAAACACCGAUUAUAACUUCCUGCUUUAGGAGAGAAGAAAAUUCAAAUUAGAAAUUCUGCUUCGAGCUCAAAAGUUCAUCUCAUCAUGCUUUGGUUGUUGGAUUCUUAAAAGUAGAGAAACUACUUCCGAAGCUAGACCAACAAGUAAUUGAAGUCAAAUUAGAAAUGAAUUUUGUAAUGGAAUGAAAUCAUAAUGAAAAUGCCCGAUUUUGUUGGUUUGUUUCGGUUUGCAACCGGAAUAAGAAAUAGUACGAAUGAUUACGAUUCACCUAGGAAUGAGGUACGACCACGGGAUUUUAGGCUAUGGUAAAAAUCAAGAGAUUCGACUGCUCUCAUCAACUUUGUACUUGAAGAAAGUCGAUCGGCACAGGAGACGAUCAUUCUGAUUUCCAUUCCAAAUCAAAUUCUUCCCCAACCACUCUCAUCAACUUUGUACUUGUAAAAAUCAGGAGAUUCGACCGCUCUCAUCACCCCGAUUAAACAGUCGGCACGGGAUACGAUCAUUCUGAUUUCCAUUCCAAAUCAAAUUCUUCCCCAACCACAUAUAUUCUCUUUAAAACUUGCAUAUAACAAAUUGAAGGGGCCAUGUGCAUGUGCCACCUUGUUUGGUGAAGUGGUUUUGGAAGUGGUUUUACAUGUCAAGAAACGCUCUCUCAAAACCACACGGUUUUGCAUGUGAAAUGACACCAUCUUCUACACAAUAAUAACUGUUUGUCUUGCAUUUUGCUACUGAACCACUACUAUUUUUACCUGUUCUUUUUAUCCAUAAACAGUCCCAAGUGUCAGCUGAGUCAAAAUUUGCAAAAAGGAGGGUUAAAAACCAAAAGAGCCCCGCUUCAAACAUCUAUUUAUUCCUCCAAACUCCCUCCCCUUCCCACCACAAGGAAAUCAAACUUUACUCUCUCCCACCUCUCUAUCUCUUAGCAUUCAUCAUUCCCAAGUAAUAAUAUUUCUCCAACCAUGGCUUUAUGCUUCUUAAUUUUGAGGUGAUCUUUUUAGUUCCUAAACAAUUAUUCUUUUUUUGUUGUUGUUGUUCUCUAUCAUUGCAGGGAAAACAUGGGUUCUGCUUGGAUUUUGCUUAUUGUUUCUCUCUCAUUGCUCUCUAUAGUAGUACAUGGGUACAAUGGAGGAGGAUGGUCCAGUGCCCAUGCUACUUUCUAUGGUGGAAGUGAUGCAUCUGGGACAAUGGGUACUUGCUCCAACCUUACAUGUUACUUUCACAAAUAAUGCUGUGUUAUAUUAUAUACUAGAAAUCAUUGCCCGUGUCUAGUGCAUUCAUGCAUCUUGUUUCAUGCUUUCAAUUCAACCAUCCAACUUUUUACGGUGCAAUGCAAAGUACCAAUAGUUUCUUGGUUUAUCAGUAAACAAAUGGGUAUAUAACUCGGUCCGUGAACUUCUCACUUAAUCACUUCAGCCGCUGAACUUUUACAUAUGUUACACUUCUGUAGGCGGUCGUUUUGUAAGUAAUUUCCAACUUUCUUGGAUGGUUCAUGGACUAAAUUUUAGUGCAUUAUCCAGAUAGUACAGAGAACAUACUUGUGCUACAUAAACAUGUAUGGCAAGUAUAAAAAUAAUGUGUUAUUUUGUGUUUUUUUUGGGGGUAUAUGCUUUGUAGGUGGGGCAUGUGGGUAUGGAAAUCUAUACAGCCAAGGAUAUGGGACUAACACAGCAGCACUGAGCACAGCUCUAUUCAACAAUGGGCAAAGCUGUGGGGCAUGUUAUGAGAUGAGGUGUGUGAAUGACCACAGAUGGUGUCUCCCUGGUUCCAUUGUGGUCACUGCCACAAACUACUGCCCCCCAAACUAUGCACUCCCAAACAAUGCAGGGGGGUGGUGCAACCCUCCCCUCCAACAUUUUGACCUCUCUCAGCCUGUUUUCCAGCAAAUUGCUCAGUAUAGGGCUGGGAUUGUCCCUGUUUCCUAUAGAAGGUGAGUAUUUUAUUUUGUUUUAUUGUUUGUUUUUGGCUUAAGAUUGUCAUGUUCUUCUUUUUCUUGGAUCUACUCAUAGUUCAUGUAGUGCUAGUGUAUAAAAGAGAAGUAUGUAUUUACAUACAUAUACUACUGCAAAAUUAUCCAAUAUAUGUAGUCAAAUCACUCAUAAUUUUGAAGUUUCACAAUGCCUUUCAAAAACUUGAUUUCUUUUGUGUGUGUGUGUGUAUAUAUAUAUACAUACCCUUGUACUAGCAAAAUUGUCCCUAGUUUCUUAAAAGAGAGAGCUUUUGUGGUAUUUUUGUAAGAAAUCACGGUUUCGAAGGAAUAUAUGAAAAUUCAAAUAUUGCAGGUGUGGUAAAUAUAAGUAGAUGAUUUUGCAGGCACAUGAAAGGUAAAGGCUUUUGCUCUCUCCUGGGCAUUUUAGGCUUUUUGCUCUUGUUGUUGUUCAUGUUAAGAAUCAACCUUAAGUGACUUAUCUACAAUAUCUUCUUACCUGACUCUUAUUCUGAUUAGGCAGAAUAAAACCUACACAGCUUGAAGCUAUUUAGCCUUUCAAGUGUUUCCACACAAACACUAGCUAAUUAUCCCAUAUCACAAUAACAUAAAAAACAGUGACAUCUUAGUAGGUCACCCUUUGAUCUUUUUUCUUCUCCUCUUUUCUCAAGCUAUCAACUUUUUUCUUCUCCUCAGCACAUGCAAUGUCUUCUUCUGAACAUUUUUGAGAAAGAACCUUAACAAAAGGAUUAUACUUUUUCAGGGUCUCUUGCAGGAAGAGAGGGGGAAUAAGGUUCACCAUUAAUGGCCACUCUUACUUCAAUCUAGUGCUGAUCACCAAUGUUGGAGGAGCUGGAGAUGUUCAUGCAGUUUCCAUCAAGGGAUCGAGGACCAAUUGGCAACCAAUGUCGCGAAACUGGGGCCAAAAUUGGCAGAGCAGUUCUUAUCUUGAUGGCCAAUCACUCUCUUUUAAGGUCACGACGAGCGAUGGACGAUCUGUCGUCUCCUACAACGUGGCUCCGGCUAGUUGGUCUUUCGGCCAAACUUUUAGUGGAGGCCAAUUAAAUUGAAACCAUAGUCAUAUUUCUACUAUGAUCUGCACUAAAGUUAGUAAAUAUACAUAUAUGUUAAGUUUGAUUAAGCAGAUAAGAAGGGCUCAUUUUACUGCGGCUUUUCGUAUUAUACUAUCAGAUUAAAUGUGGCUUUGUAGAAGGGUUUCUAUGAAGCUUUCUUAAGACUGCUUCAGGAGAACAAAAGGGCUUCUCUUUGAUUUGUAGUAAUUGGCAGUGGUAGGAUUUUACCGCCCGCUGAUCUUUCCUUUUUCUUCACUUUUCUUUUUUAUUUGUGUGCUUUAGUAUGCUGAAAGGGUAAGCUCUGAAAGAGCUUCUUCCCCAAGUUGUUUUAAUGAGUUGGCUGUUGAAUGUAACUUGUUUAGUUUGUACCAUCUACAUCAUUGUACUACUUUUACUACCUUAUAUGAAGAUCUAAUGUUUGUAUCAAUUUUUCUUUUCUUUUCUUUUCAUUUCAGUAGUGAUUAUUUAAGUUCUUUGUGCGACGAAUGUUACUUUUGCAUCUAUAUAUAAAGUGUUCAUCCUAGAGGGCACACAGGUAUUCCUCAAAUUAAAAACAGGGGAAUCAUUUAGGAUAAACUGGACCACAUAAAGCAGAAUAGUAUAGAGUUUAUAGAAACAACACAUCCUUUCAUAAUUGUGAAAUUUUCUCGCCAAAAAACCACCACUGCAUCUACCGUUCUUUCCCCCUCUACUUUUAAUCCAUACCACAUUUAAAGAUGAUAGUUUUAAAUCUGAAAAAGAAUGCAAACCUCCGGAUGUUGUAGAGAAGUAUCGAAGGGUGGGCAGAAGAGUAAGCGGUCCAUGAGUGACGUGGUGAACAAAAUCUGGGGCAUAAUCUCUCACUGAGGACGCCUAUGAGUUCCUAAACUUCUCUGAUGUGGGCAAAUUUACUUCAGCAAAGUGUAACCAUUCCCCUGCAUGAGUUUAACUUAAACCUUUUGCUUUCCAAGACAAAAGCUCGAGAAAAUUUCAUAACACUGAUGUGAACUCAGGUAAAUUCUUGAGUAGCUCUUCCGCUGAUGAUGAUUUUAAACAUGAACAAGACUUUUUUGCUGCUUGUUGCUUUGAGUACACAUACAAAUGUGACUAGGAAAACACACAAGGUUUUCAGAAGGCUUUCAAAGAGUAUUUAUUAUUUCGUAAAGAAGUGUAUGUUGAGAAUUUUGUUUGAAAUUACAAAAGAACAAAUUGAUUCAGACAAAAUGAUAAAUAAUCUACGGAACAGCAUAAAUUGAGGAAUUGGUGUCGGAAUUUUCACUUGCUGAUAAUAAUGCCUGCUCGAGCUCCGGUCUUGUCAAAAGCCUUGUGGACGGCGGGUGCGAUAUAUUAGAAAGAUUGGUUGCCGCAUUCGAUUGGAUCGGUCGAACUGAGAAGUGGCUCCCAAGAGUUUCGAUCGUCCCCUCUAUGAAUGUGGACUUGGAUGGCAAAAUUUCCUUCAUUCGGCAUAAGAACUCUACAUGGGACCUCGCCUGAUAAAGAAAAUGGGUAGAUUAACACCAACACAUGCAAUUUACACUUAUCUUCAUCAAAGAACAUCAGAUUAUCUCACAACUGCAACAAAAACAACUGCAAUGAAGCACUUCAAAACUCCCCUUGUAGAAACAAGAAAAUGAAGAAUAACUGGAAAAAAUAUAUAUAUACCGAUCGAUAUUCUGGAGCUCGCAUGGGCAGUUUUAGGUAAUCCAUGUUGCUCACAUCAUAAUCCCAUAGAAAUGAUGUGUGAUGAACCCAUCGAUUUUUUGUUAUCGAUUGAGCAUUUCCACCAAAUUUCCUGCUGCCAAAUGCAUAGUCUGCAAAAUGUUGUUUAUUCAAUAGCAUCUGUUAGCAAACUUUUUUAUAACAAAUGUUCAUGAAUAUUUGUUGAAAGUUCGUAACAUAAGCAAAUGGGGCUAACCGCAGAUAUCCCCCUGCAUAUAUUGUGUUUUGUACUUUACCCUUCUUGGUAAGUCAAAACGUACAGAUAAUCCAAAUUUUGUGAGAAAAUCUUGCACUUUACUUCCCUAUUAAAGGGGGUGAAGUGGUAAGAUUUUUAUAAAUAGGGGAGUUAUGGUCUAUAGGUUUUCAAUAUUGAGGGUGUUUAAAGUGCAGACUGCAAUAUUUUAGAGCCAACUGCAUCAACAAAAGCAGCUGAAGUAGAUCUUUUGUUGCGUACCAUUUUCUCGUAGGUGGAAGUCACCAAAUUCACGAAGCACUUCACCAUAAAAUUGCCCGGUCCAAGACAUGAUAGGCCGAGGAUAUGGUUGCAACCCAGGAAUAUCAUCUUUGUUGCAAAUAAGUGUGACAAAAAUUGUCCCAUUAUCAACAAUAACGGUGCCUCCUCCACUAAACCUCCUUAUUACAGGGAUUUGAUCACGAAUUACAGAGUUUAUAUUGACGAGUUCGGAAGGCCUCCUGGUGUUAAAGUUACAUACUGACAGUUGUAAGCCUAUAUUAGAAAAUGAGAACAAUAUCUUAAUAACAUAAAUUAUGGGGGUCAAAAUGACACGAAGUGCAACCAAUGAUGAAAAAAAAGGGAUAAAGAGAGAUGCAUCCAAAAGUUACCCAGAAACACCCAUGACUAUAGUGGGUUGCUUUGUUCCAUUAUUGAUAAUGCACCAAUUUUCUGAAGAGCUCCUGAGUAGCUUUUCCUCCAAAUAUAGUUGCUUUAAAAUGCUAAAUUCUUUCAAUUUAAUAAGAUUCAUCACGGGCCGAAUAACGCCUCUAGCUGGAUACGAGACCAUUCUGAUAGUAGAGAUUCAAAAGAUAUUUUUCUUUCCUUCUAAAACAGAUGGUCAGUUUAAUCUCACAACUUGCCUGAAAACCUGCUAUUGUCUCGCUUUCAUAUUCUUCUGUUUUCCAAAUUAAGAAGCCCUAAGGAAGUAAAAACAAAUGGUGUUUCACAUAUGACAGAUCUUACUGCAAGAGGAAACAGGACGCCGAUAAGAAGAGUAGCAAGCAGAUAUUUCUACAGAAAUUAUCAUAUUCAUCCUCAACUUACAUAAAAAAAAACCUUUUAACGUACUUGCUCUAUGCAGCAGGAGUAUAUUGAUGUUUGCUGCGAAACUAAUUUCUUAAUAUAUACCAUAGAGCUACAUUUUUACAUCAAAAGCACGAAUAUAAUUGUAAAUGGGCCUUCGCAGGUAGAAGAACGAAACAAGAGAAGAACGGGAGCACUAAGACUAGAAUUUUUUUCUAAAAAAAAAAAAAUCAAUUAGCAAACUAGGGCUUCAAAUGUCAUUGUUCUUCUACAAGUUCUUCAUCAAACAAUGGAUAUCAACCUUUAAGACCAAGUAUAUUUUCAGUCCUAAAGAUUCCGCUUCAACCGUCCGAAUUCAGCUUUUCUGAACUCGAGUUUCGAUCAAAACUUGCCUAAAGUAAGUGGAAACAACCAAAACUCCGCAAAUGGCGGGACUUGAAACCUCAAAGCUUGCUUAGCUUUUGAAACGGCUUCUCUAUGUAAGCACAAACAGCGCUUAUGCAAAAAUCGAAAAACUCGAGCCAAACAAGCAGAGCCAAACAGGCACUUAGUUUCAUUGUUCUCGACCAAAAAAAAAAAAAAAAAAAAUCGGUUUUAACCAAAAUAAUCAAAAUUAAUCUCAAUAAAAGAGACUGGUUUUGCCCAAAAUAGUUCCAGAAUCCAGAUUAAUCUCUACGCUCUUCCUGCUCGGGAGGAAGUUAAAACAGCAACUUUUUUAAAAAAUUAAAAACUGGUUCGCUUUAAAAACACAUCUCCAGCAUCAAAUUGGCCGAAUCAAAACAGCACCUUGUUAGGGUUUCGCGCAGGGGAGGCUCCCUCAAAUCCACUACCGGAUCGAAUUACAACAACAAUGCCAAUAAAAUCACAUCCAAACCCCCCCCAAAAAAAAAAAUCACAAAAAUCCCGCUCGAGGAUUAGCAAAUCAAAAGCAGAUUUUUACACCACAAACUUUAGGAUUCAAAGAAAAAAAAAAAAACACCAAUUAAAAUUUUCCGAUUGAGAAAACGAGGAUUAUCAGGGUUAAAUUAAGCUCAAAAGUAGGGGAGGGGGAUAGAGGAGCACCUGCGAUCGACGUUUCUCCGACAGAGAGAGGAAGAGAAGGGUGGAGAAGUGGAGGUAGACUCACCUGAGACGGGUCGGAUCGGGCAAAAAUUUCGGGCCUGUUCGGUCCAAAUUCAUUCCGUCGGGUCGGAUCCAAAUUGACUGGGCUUAGCGGGUCGGGCCCAACUUUGCUCAGGCCUAGAUGCAGGUGGGCUGAGGAGGCGUUGGGCCUUUAGGUGAAAAUGUAUGGAGAGCCCCUAGACUAUUAGAUGUUUUGAAAAAAGCGCCUCAACAAUAUCAUGUAUGUGCUUUUGUUUGACCCCUCUCAAUUUUUAAUUUUUUAAAUUUGAAUUACCGUACUUAAUUAAAGUGAAAACAUUGUUAAAUUAAAUGGCUUUACUAACUAUUGGACACUAAUUGUUAUAUUUUUAUUUGUUAACAGAUAAUGGAAAAUAAGAAAUUUAAUGGAAGUAUAGUUGGAUUUAGGGAAUUUUUUAAAUUUAUUGAAUUAUAAUUAUUGAAAUAAAGAAAUUUAAAAGUUGGAGGGGUGUCAAUAGCCCCUCAACUAUGAAAUAUACUACUCAACUUCACUUUUUACUUAUGAUACUAUUUAACUUUCAAUUUUUCGUUUGAGUUGUUUCAGCUAGUUAAAUUAGAGAUUUUAGUAAAAUUUAACAGCUCUAUUAGCUAUUAGUCAUUAAUACCUUUAGUUUUAUUAAUUAAAUGUAAUUAAAACUAUUAAAUUUAACGAAAUCACGAUGAAUUUAUUAUAUUUCUAAUUUAUCUAACUAAAAUUAUCCAAUUUCACAAAUUAAAAGUUGGGAAGGACUUUGCAUGCUUGAACAACCUCUCUGCUCUAAGAAACAACAUAUAAGCAUUUGCUGAACAAAAUGUUUAGAGGUUUUUUUUUAUAUAUUUUUAUUGUGAGAAGAUGAAAUGAAUUACUGUGCUUACACUUCCAUUACAGUAAUAAGUUUUUUUGGAGGAUUUUAAUAAGUAUGCUGUUGUUAUGUAUUCGAAUAGCUCUUCUAACAUAGCAUUUAUGUAAACAUGCUCAAAGUAAUAAUUAGUUUGAUCUUUUUAUUCAUUAAUUCUCAUCGCAUAAAUUAUAUGUACAGCUCCAGAAAAAGGAAAAAGUUAGAAGAUGUAGUGGAGGAAAAUUCAGCAUAAGCUGAUCUCUAAGAACUUGAGAAACUCAUUGAAAUCAAUCUUCCCAUCUCUGUUUCUGUCAUAUGCUGCAAUCAUCUUCCUGCAUGCAUUCAAGUCCCUCCCUUCUCUGAAGCCCAGCUUCUGAAGAACUCUCUGCAGCUCCCAUUCAUCAAUAAAACCAUCCCUAUUCUCAUCAAACACACAAAAAGCCUCUUUUGCUUCCUCCAAACUGGGCUCCUCCUCCUCAAACAAACUACACAUCUCACCAACCCCCAUGCAAUCAUGUUGUACCUGGUCAGUUUCCUUGCUGAAACUGAAUCCUAUGGACUCCAAAAUGAUCCCCACAUCUCCUCUCCUCAAACAGUGAUCUUGUUCACUGUGAGUAGUUGUGUUCUUGGACUUUGGCUUGUCAUCAUAAACUACUGGUGAGCAUAGACACAGCAUGGAAUAGGAGAGGGUAGAGGAGAGUGAUCUGGGGAAGAGCUUGUGAAGUGUCCUGGUCAACAAGUUGAGUAUGAGUUGAAGGAAGAAGAACCCGAUCAGCUCCGGAAACGAUCGGUCGCGAGAAGGGCUAGCUUUUGAUGCCUUCUCCAUUGCUGGUUCUUUAAUUUCUACUUGUUUAGAUAGAUGGAUGGUAGUAAGAGAUUCUUCUGGAGGUGGUGUUGUAGUAGUUGGAUGAAGAGGAGGUGGGGGAGGAGGAGGAGGUUAAAUACAAGGAUGUGGUGGCUGGUACAGAAGAGGAGGAGGAGGAAGGUGCCUGUGGUGCAAUGAGGGAAAGUGAUGGAUAUGGACUUAAAAAAUUGCAGGAAAAAGAAAUGUAUUUGGAGUUUGAGGAGACUUGGUUGAGUCUAGGAAGGAGAAAGGCUACUGAGUCCUGUGGAAAUUUCCUAGAAAGAGCUUUGGCGGCGGGCCUUUCUUUGCGUUCUGUUUAGCUAGAAUUAUUCGAAGAAGUACUAAUAAUUACAUUUUUUGCUACAAAAACUCUCUCGACAUAUAACUAAAACGUUUUUUUUUCGUGUGUUUCUUUGGCUUUUGUAGAAACAGUAUAAAUUUAUUUCAGAAGCUAAGCUAAUUAAACAUUUUAUGUAGUCUAGUUGGUAAUUAAGUACCAAAGCCAAGCUUAGACGCAUAAAUAGGAAAAAGAAACUCCUGAAAUCUAGUAAUUAAAGUAACAUAAUUCUUCAUUCCAUCAGGAAAUAUAUAUUUAUGAAAAUCCUUACUGUUCUUGACCCAUAAGAAUAAAUAGUAUAUUAAAUCCUUUGUUGUUUUUUUUUUUUUGAAGUUAAACCAUAAAUAUUUUGAAACAUUUUGAGAUAGUCUUGAACUGAUGUGAUGACAAAUCAUUCCAAACCUUCAUUGGAAAAAUGUUGGAAAAUUUGGUGUAAACUUGGCAUCUUAUCAACUAAUGUGAUGUGAUGUUUAGUUCUCAUGAAACUUCCUGCAUGGAAGAGGGGUGGAAAAUGAUUCCAGAGAACCUGCUUUUGAUUUCUGUGAUGUGUUUUCAGUGGAAAAGUAACAGAACUGGUGCCAAAUUUCCUGCCAAUUUUUUUUUUAAUUUUUUUGGGGAAAACUUCAAAUACCACCCCGAUAGUUUUUUACUUUUUAUUUCAGUACCCUAUAAUUUAAAGUGUACCAAUUUAGUAUCUCGUGAUUUCAUUUUUUUCUUUUUAUUAUCCCAUCCGGUAAUUUUUUUUCAUUAAAUCAGUGACAAAAUUAAAACUAAAAAAUACUAAAGUGAAUAUUGGAUAAACUUAACUUUUUUGUGUAUAAUUUAACUAAACAUUAGCGAAGGAGCUGGCGAAAAGAAAAAAAUAAAACCACAGGACACUAAAUUGAUAUACUUUAAACCACAGAGUGUUAAAGUAAGAAAGUACGAAACUACAAUAAUAGUAUUUGAAGUUUACCCUUUUAUUUGCAGAGUUUGGAGCAGAGGACAAAAUGUGAACUUCAGCCAAUGAAACUUAAAAGUGACUUAAGAAGACAAAUGGAUGCAUUCUUUGUCAACAAGGCCCCCUUUCCAACUUAAUUUCCAUUUUAGGGUGGUCCAGUGUGAGUAGUUGUGAAAUGUUGUUUUCAUGGAACCUACCAAAGGUUCCCAUGUAGUUUCUCCUAAUUGUGUUCCUAUUAAUACUGCACAGGAGUACAUUGUUCACUUUGAAGACCAUGACUAUAGAGAGAGAGAGAGAGAUUGUGUUUUAGUUUACUGCUAGAGAGAUCCAAAAAUAGAGUGUAUAUUUUACACUUUAUUCAUCAAAAAUGUAAACAAACUUUUUUUGAAAUUUUAGUAUAGGAAAAAAAAAAUUUAAUUAUGAUAAAGCAGUAAAAGUAAACUAGACCAGCAUAGACCAAAGUCUCUACUUUUCCACUAAGGUUGGACUCGACUCAGGUCGGAAACUAGACCGAGGAAGUGGACCAGGUAGUGGACCGGUCCAGCGAGCCGCGACCUUGCCCGAGCCGUGACGCUCCCGGUCCCGGUCCGGUUUGAACCGGUCCACCUCCUCCUCUCUCCUCCUCCUCCUCCUCUCCACAUUAACCCUAGCGGUGGCGCCGUAUCUCUUCCCCAUGACCGCGAUCGCACUGUCCCCUCCUCCUCAAAUGUGUGAAAUUGAUCCGACCUUUUCUUCUUUUUCGUCGGAGGUGAGAUUUUCCUCUUAUUUUCGAGCUGGUUCGGAAAAAAAAUCGUUCACUUUGUGCCUUUUACCUGCUUCUUAUUGUUUGGGAACAUGGGUUUCUCCUCGAAUUGGCUCCUUAUUGUUUAUGGGGGCUAAGGUGAUUGCAAAUUGUAAAAUCCAACGAUCAACACAGCAUUAGAUGGAAAAUAUGAACUUUUUUCCAGUAAACUUAGGUAAAAUGAUGAAGAUACAAUAGCAUUUGUGAUUUUGGGAACUGUAAGUGUAUAAUUGAACUCAAGGUAUCAUUUUUGUGGGUAUUGAUACUUUGUUAAGAUUGUGAGGCCCCAAAUAAACAAUAAAAUGUAUUUUAGAAUCGCUAAUUUUUAACUCUUAUUGUUUGAUCUGCUGUAAAGUGAGGUGCUUGAGGUGUCCUCUGUAUGAAAUUUACUGAUAAUUUUAUUCUGCUUAUUUAAUUUGUGAUGAACUAGGUUUUCUAUUUUUACUUUUUGAGGAGUAAUUCUAUUAGGCGAAGUGUGAGGCCGCUAUCUAAUUACAUGUUCUUGGCAUCCUCUGCGUGAAUUUUUGUCUUAUUUCUCUUGAUUUAAAUUUAGAAGAUUCCUUUGUCAUGUUUUGUAUUAAGUUUCCACAUAACCUGCUUUGUGCAAUACAAACAACCAGUAAAUUAUCUCAUCUAAUUAAGAAAUGUAAUAAUUAUAUUUUUCCAGUUCCAGAAACUACUGGACAAACUAAGAAGAAAAAUGUUUACUCUUAGCAGGUUUUCUAUUUAUACAUUUCUUAAGCUAAGUCGAAUCAUAGAGUCUACCUGUGAGAAUGAUUUCCACUGGUUUUGAUUAAUUGAUACCCUGUGAAGAAUAUGCCACGGUACGAACCAAACUCACACUUAGACAUGGUUUACUAACAUAGUUGUUGAUUGAAGUGCAUACUCCAACCCAAGUUUCAAAUAUUUCUACUUGUAUCCUUCUUUUAUUACAACAAAGAUGGUAAGGGAUGAUAACAAGUGAACUAUAUCAGCCACAUUGUGUUCAAACGACUACAUUUAUCGAUGUUCUUUAAAGGAGAACUAGAUCCUUUGUUAUUUAUAUAGAGUAUCCAUACUUCUAAUCUCUGUCGGAACCGAUUGGAAGGAAGCUACUUUGGUUUAGGAGCUGGUGGUGGAGUACCGAAGAGAGCUCCAUUCUUCAAGUUGGUAUUCGCCCCCGGCUCCUUGUAGUCCAUCUCUAUCUCCACCACUUCUCUUUUCGCCAAUGAACCCUCCUAACAUAUCCAAUCAAUAAAUUUAGAAAAAAGGAAAAAAAAAAAAAACUCACUUGAUGAAAUCCAGUAAGUAUAAAAAGAACCAAGAUAUGUGGAGAAAACCAACAUCAGUUACUGAAAUGCGGUCAAUCUCAUGUUGUUUCAGAUUCUGAAUCCUUGUUCCAUAUCCUGCAUUACAAAGAGUAAACAUGGCUAGGUGAUGUAACAGAAACUCGGGAAGGGCGACGGCGGACGAGAAAUCGAAAUGAGCACCUUGUGAAGCCGAGUGAGAGAGGACGAUGGCGGAGAGGAGAAGGAGAGCGAGGAAGCGAGACGGAGCCAUUCUGAAAUCUCGUAAGUCGAAACCCGAACUCUAAUGUCUUUAAUUCCUCCUUGCGUGUUAUGCGGGCGCUGGGUAAAGUUACCUUGGUUUAAAUGAGAUGAAGAUAUUCAUGUAACUUGCCGAAUUUCUCAGAACUUCAUUCAAAUUAAGCUAUAUUCAUGAAAUUUUUAUCGACAUCUCUAGGUUUCGGCUGUGAGUAUAUUGCUUAUUAAUGUGUUUAGGGAUUUGCAUGCUGUGAUAGCAAUGCUCUCUCUAUGGCUUUUGGUGAAUUUAGUUGGGGAAGGUGGGUAGUGAACUGGAAAUGUGUGGGGGACAACCUUAUCCAUUCAAUGCUUCUCUAGAAUUCACGAGCACAGAUUUCUAGAAGAUAGGUUCACCCAGUAUCUCCUUUUGUGAAUCUUAAAGCAGAAAAAGAUGACUAGAAAUGCCCAGAAAAUACUAAGCUGAGCAUCCUGUUAGUUAUUUUUAUUCUCCGUCCGAGACACUACUCUGACAAUUCUCGCCGAAAGUUUAAUAUCGAGAGAGAUUCAUUGAAUCUGAUCACUUUGACAAAUUUUGUCUUUUCAUAUCAAAAGUGGCACCGUUAAUCUUGCCGUAUAACUAGGAAAGAUUGGUAGGAAGUUGCUGGAUGAUCUCUAUGAGGAGAACUAGUAAAACUUUGUUUUCGAGUAAUGAUGAUCAAAUAGUGGUAUUUUGUUGAUUAUUAUUACUCCAAACUAGAAGACAAAACAUUUUUCGUAUGAUUAUUCUUUAUGAUUGCUAAACUCUUCCCAAGUAGCUGAGAAUUUUCUAGGAAAUAUAUUCAUCCUAUAAUAUCUUUCCCUGAGGCUAUCUUUUGUGCCUUUUGAACAGCCACAUUUAAUAUAUAGAAACCUUCAAACACAAUUACAGUAAAAAAUUUCAUUAGCAAAAUCCUUAAGCAACACAUGUUCUUAUAGUAUCACCACUAUCUUGCACUGUACGGUCGAUUUGUAUUAGAUUACUGAUCAAGAGGUCGGAGUUUCAAUUCCCCAUUUGAAAUUGCAUAUAAAUAAGAUCCCUAAAAAAAUAAAAUAAAUAAAAUAAAAAUAAGUUAGUAGGAUAUGCUUCUCAUGUGACACGUGUAAGCUUAUUUAUUGUGUCUAAACUCUUUUCUCUACACUUCAUGAGUGUGUUUAAUAAAAGCUUUACACGGUGAUUGGAGUUUGGUGGUUACAAGCCAUCUUUUUUCUCUCCACUCAUCUAAAGAAAUUUCUCAAAGCAAAUCCUAAACUUACAAGAAUUAACAAUUUGGCACUUAUCGAAUUGAAAUUUUACUUCAAAUUUUGAUAGCUUUUGAAUUUUAAGCAGUUGCAAGAAAUGUUCUAAACUUCCUUUUGCAAAACCAAGGAAUUUCCAUCAAUUAUCACAAAAUUGACAAAUAAAAUUAAGUUUGGCCCCUAUAUGUGGCCGAGAGUUGAAAAAAAACCGAAAACUUUAAAAGUAAACUUUUCAAUUUGAAGUUUCUAUUUCUAUUUUUUUGAACUGUUUGAUUUAAAUUGAUCCUCUAAAUAUACUUGAGCACCAUGUAGCUUCUCCCACUAUGCUAAAAUCUAUCCCUUUUUUUAAUUUUGGCUUUUAGGGGAAGUGCUUUAACACGUGGCCAAAGUGGCGUGCUUCUGGAGGUUGAGUGUCCCACAAUCCCCAAAAAAAAAAGAAAAAAGAAAAUUGUUUCUACCCAAUGAAUCGUUGACAAAGAUUGGGAACAAAUGCUAAAGGGUCAACCGACGUUGACCCCUGUCAUUGAGCAACAACAUUAAAAAAAAAGGAAACAAAAUGAUAGGAUAGGAACGUGUGGGUGUUGCAGUACCACGAAAUGGUGGAGUGUGUUUAUUUCCUUGUGAAAAGUUUAAAGCAUUUAUAGAAAAUAUUAAAGUAAUUGCACAAAAGGUUCUUCUUUUUUUUAGUAGAAACUAGAUUUCUCAAAAAGCAUCUUUGUGUUUUGAAGUUUAGAUUUUGAAAUUGCUUUAGCAAUAGUAAGAAGAUGGUAGCUGGUACAAAAGUUUAAAUUUCUUUUAUUGAUUUAGGAAGCUAAACUAAGAUUCUUACUCCAACAUUUUAAGCUUUGAUUUCAAUUUUUUGUUUCUUUUCUCUGUUGUACUCAAAAAACUAUUUGAUGAGUUUAUAUUUACUUUGGAGAAAAAUAAUUGAGUUGAUUUUAAUGAAACAAGAAGCAUCUACAGAAGCUUCAGCUAGAUCAAAAAUAGUUCUGUUAAGGGUACUUGCAUAGCGUAAGAAGCAAAAAUUCAACUAACAUAAGUUUAGUGAGAUAUAUGAGAUAACAAUAGGACAAGGAGUACUUUAAUUAAGUACAAGACAACAUUAAGGUAAUACAUCAAGGAAUGCUUGUGGUACAGAAUCUAACUGAUUUAGCAAAAGCUCCUUGAGAAAUCUAUAGCCACAUGCUUUUCUCUUUUUUGCUGAUUCUUUAUCUGAUGCAGAAUAACCUGUAAGAAUACAUUCAUUGGUUGCUUCAUCUUUCCCUUUGCUUUUGUAUCAAAAUCACAAAUAUAAAAAAGCCACUUUUCCACCCUAUUAGCUUUGGUGGACCAAAAUUAGUUGUUUUCAUUAAAUUAAACUUAGUAACAUUAGAUAAUUGGUGGGUUCUUUUGCACCAAAUAAUCAAAUUUUAGUUGGUCAAAGGCAAGUGGGUCUAUUGAAAUGUGAACUGCUUAACCCCCUUUUCAAUUCUUUUGCAACAUAUCUCCUUCAUAUUCUUCUUUCCACCACAUUAUAAGAGCCAAUUAGAAGGUGUGUUUGAAAAAAGAAAGAUGCUUGGCUCUUUGUGGACAAAAAUUCAUGCCAAUCCUCAAAGAGUCAGAGGUGGCCCUCUAGUGGUCUCUCUCUUUAAUUCCUUGUCUUAUCUCCACCUUUUCCCACAAUAUAUUUUUUCAUGUUAAAAUUAUCUCUGCCUUAUAUUCCAAAGUGAUGGAUUCUGAACUGUACCUUUCUAUUGAUAAUUAUUUAUUCUGUUAAUAUAAAUUUUACCUUCUAUAGUUGGCACUCACUGUUGAUCUUUGUAUAUCAAGGAUAUUAGUGUGACCUUUCCAUUUUAUACACUGUGAUUGAUGAAGAUAACAAGCCUGAAGAAGAUGCAGAAGAAUGAAGAAGAAGAAGAAGAGUCUAAGAACAAAGGUACAAAGAAGUCAAAAAUAAAUCCUCUACAGCUACAUAAGCAAAUUUAUUUAUAUAUACAACAGCAAAUCUCUCUCUCGUUUUUAUCCUUCCCACUCUUUUCUCACUCAGUAGCUAUUUACAUUUACAAAAUACAACACAACCAUCAUAAACAGCAUAGUCAAAUCCUCAUCUAAUUUACAAAAUUUUUCAAUAUUCUCUACUUUGGUAUGUAUACAUAUGGAGUUAAAAAGCUUAACUAAGAGCUUUCAUGGAAGUUGACAGACCGCGAAAAAGCCGCGGGGUUAGCGUGCAGAAGCUGCAAAUUCUCCGCAGAAUAAUCCUUAGCAUCAACUUUAGUCUGGAAUGCGUUGAAGACCGAGCCCCGCUCACCGUUCUUUAUGCCGAUCAUCGCCCAGAUAGAACUCUUCGCGGCCUCAUCGAGAUCGUCGAUCCUAAGCGUCUUGGGAACCCACACACAUUUUUCCUGCGGGGCUGCGUUGCGGUUUCCUGCUUUGUUUGUGUUGUCUUCUUUGAUCCCAUUUCCAUCCCUCGAAUGCUUGCCUAAGGUUGGAGAGUUAGUAUUAACCGCAAAAUUUGAUGCCCAUGGAAUUGUCCAAUUAGCAGGCAUGGUGCAACCCCAGUAAGGUGCAGGGUACAAUGGUAUAGCAAAGCUCUGAGCAUAGAAAGGAUUAUAGGCCCAAGCAGUACCAUUCAAACAUGGGCUGGGGAACUGAUUACCAAUCCCUUGACAUUUUUCAGCAGUCUUCUCUUUCGAAUUAAUCCUUCUCUCCUCCUCCGAAUUCCGUUCAAUCACGGAAGACCCACUUGAUUUCUCUGCGCCAUUUUCCGGCACUAUCACUCCGUUUCGAGUACGGUCCUUCAUUGUUUGAUCUCCGACACUAAGCACGGAAGCCAUUGGUUUGGAGAGAGGGGCAUCCGGACCGAAGCUUAGUACGGUACAGCUAUUGUUAGCACCAACUACUCGAAGAGAGGGACUUGGCACGGUUAAGUUCCGAUAAUGGGAACUGGAGUUCUUGUUCUUUCGCCGACCGGCUCCAACCGGCACGUUUCUCAUGGAACCGCCGGCCGUCCAGUAUCUCUGGCACUUCUUGCAGAAGUGGCGUGGUUGGUUGACGUUGUAGUUGUUGAAGUAGCAGAACUUUGUGUCCAUGCUGCUGCAUCUGGGGCAAGGGAGGAUCUUGUCGGGCUUUUUCAGGGUUUUCUCCUUCGGUUCGCUCGAUGAUGUAUUGCUCGACUUCUGUUCGGGCUGUGAGCUACUCUCCGUAGCCGCAUCAGGAGGAGAUGGUUUCGAGGAAUCCGUUGGCGUAGGCGGCAAAGGAGGAGGCUCAGGCUUUCCUUCUGAAUUUGCCAACUCUUGGUCUUGGUUUUCGGUGUUAGGAGGAGCUUCAUUCUCUUGGAGGUCCUGAAACUAAGAAGAACAUCUUUUGUAAGAGAAAGAGAAAGAGAAAGAUCACUGAUAAUACUCCACGGCUAAUAAUCUUCAGGAUAAAUUCCUGCCUAAAUUACAAACAAUGAAGCCGCGGAAAUCCACAACAGAACACAAAUUAUUUAAAGUCAUGUUUGUGGUUUCACGUUUCAGCUCUAUUACUGAUCUCAGCCAAAAGGAGGAAAAUUUAAAAAAAGAAAAAGAAAAAUUGAAUGCUUACAUUACUGAAAUAAAAAACAGGGAAAACUACAACAGAUUGUUACAUUCUAUCGCAGCGAAAUUAUUCAAUCCCUAUAAGAACUUAAUUUUAUGAGUCGUGACUAAUUCUCCACCUGCUCUAAUCUUCUUCUUUUUCUUCUACAAAGUAAUGUUUUUUUUUUUGUUUCCUUCAAUCCCCAGUUCAAUCAGUUUCCUGCUGUAAAAGCUCAUAACCACUGUCCUUCAAAAGCAAUCAUGGAGAUCCAACUCAAAAUUACAGUUCAAUUAAUUAAAGCCAAAUGAUAUAUUUGCGAAAAGACCAAAUUUUUCCUCUUCAAAAUGAGUAUACUACAGAUCCCCACAAACCCCACCAAAUCACUAAAAACAAUUAUCAGAACACCAAAUCCAACCAAACCAUGUCUCCCCCAAAACACUACGAAAUCCGUUGCGUCACUAAUCUACUCCGAUUUCUAAUUAAAAAGACACAUUAAAUUCGAAGCAACAAUCAACGAAGAUCCCAUCUCUUCGUGCUAACUCAAGUACCCAACAAAGCCAAAUUACAUUUAUAAUCGACCUAACGACCCACAAAAAAACAAAAAAAGAGAAAAAACCACUUUUUUCUCAUCAAAGGAGUGCCCCAAGUUUCCAAAAACUUUUAUCAGCACAUCAAAACAACUAAAAACUCAAUAGCUUUACAAUUCGAACUCAAAUCAUAAAAAUCCAAUCUUUUCCCACAGUAAUCGAACCUUUUCCUCUUCUCGGCCACCGUCCCCGCCACAAUCGGUGAUCGGAGGAUGCUCCCCAGUAGGUUGCAGCGGAAUCGUUUUCCCAAAGAGCUUGAUCGCCGAAUCCCUACUCUCGGACAUCUCUCUCUCUCUCUCUCCUUCUCUAGCGCUCUCGCUCGAGUUAUCUAGGGUUUUAGAGAGAGAAAAGGGAAGGGGGGGAGAAAGAAAGAGAGAGAGAGAGAGAGGAGGAGUGCCACGUCAGCAGGGGAGAGGGAUUCUGAGCCACAAGUUUGCUUUGUGGCCUCGGGGGGUCGUUAUUUGAUUCUGGUCGGCUUUUUACGUCCUGCGUAAAAAAGAUUUAGAAGGACCCGAAAAUGUGACUCACAAAAUGGACUCAAAAGUGGAUUGAGAUUAUUGUAUAUUUAUUUAUUAUUUAUAUGAAUUGAGCUCACCAAGCUAUUGAUGCUUGUAAAUUCUUAAUACUUGGAUUAAGAAUUUGUGCGAUUAGAAUGGUAGUGGCUCUUUAGAGUUUUGCGGGUAGUUAGUUGAAUAGUAUGAUCUAAUGGGUGAAAAUGAUCAAAGGAAUAGAUUUAACGGUGAAAAAUUAUAAGUAUAAGUGCUUAGUGCUUUUAAAAGCACCAUAGCCGAAUUCUAUUUAUAUAUAGUAAAAAAAAAAAGCCUUUAUUGUGACACACACAUAUAUAUAUAUAUAUAUAUAUAUAUAUAUAUAUAUAUAUAUAUAGAGAGAGAGAGAGAGAGAGAGAGAGAGAGAGAGAGAGAGAGAGAGAGUUUUGCUAGAAUACUAUCGGUAGUAAACAGCUCGAUUUACUACUGAUUUAUUUUCGAUGAUAAAACUUUCAAAUUGAUGAUCGGCACCGUUAAACAUGAUCUAAACUAUUUAAACUAUCUGGAAAUCAAAUUUCACACAUUUUCGAUAUUGUUCUCUUGCCCAUCAAGUGAACAGAAAAAUAAAUGGCUGGAAAUGAAUACCUUUCAAAAAGUGAUGAUACAAUUUUUAUAUUUGAGACCUAGAAUCUAGAUCUUAUUUUAAAUAGUUUAAAGAAUUUUUUAACAAAAAUUUAGUUGAUUUGAACUCUUCUAUACCGUUAAAUGAGAAAACGCACCAUAUCGGCCAUUAAAAUUAUAGAUUUUGUGACCCUUUGAUCGUUCAGUUAGUGAUGCCAAAAAAUCAUGAAAUUUGAUUUCUAGAUAAUUUAAAUGGUCUAGAUCAUGUUCAACGAUGCCGAUCGUCGAUUUGGAAGCUCUAUCAUCAAAAAUAAAUCGGUAGUAAACCGAACAGUUUACUACCGAUAGUAGCCCAGUCAAACUAUAUAUAUAUAUAUAUAUAUAUAUAUAUAUAAAAUCAGGAGUAGCAUAAUAAUAUCCAAUUAAAAUGGUGUUUUGAAAUAAUUUUGUUCUUUUACUUAUAUGCGAUAUGAAUAUCUAAUUAUAAUAGAGAAGAUUUCAAUUUUAUUAUUUUUUAAUCGAUAUUUUAUUUAUUUAUUUAUUUAUUUUACUUUGUGGUAUGAUUGUUAUGUUAGCUGUCAGCUGUUCAGUAGUAAAAUUUUAUUUGUCGAGAAAUAAAUAAAUUUAAUAAUUUUUUAAAAAUUUAAUUUGUUAAAAUUACUUAAAUUAUAAAAAAAAAAAAAUAUUAGAGAUCUGUUUCAGAAUGGGUUAGGCCAGUUAGGGAGAUAUUUUUCAUUCAUGUAUUUUUAACCUAUCUAUCUGGGAUGUGGUGAUCUGGGUUUGGAUUUGGGUGUUUUUUUUUAUUCUGGGUUGGUUUAGAUGGUGGGUAUCUCAAGCUUUUGCCAGGUGGAAAGGAAGGGGGCAGAGAAAAGGAGGUCUCUUUUGAGACCUACUCCUAGUCAGUAUCCUCCAAUAGCUGCUCAACGCCUGCUCUUAAAUAAUAUAACUUUUAGGAACCAAUCAUUUGAAUUUUUUUUGCUUUUUCCUAUAAGAAGAAUUCGGAACAUGAGUAAAAAAUAGACCGAGUUUUGCAGUUUUUAGUAACUUAAUUUUGAGUGAGGAGUAGAAUCUGUCGGGUCGUUGGCGUUAUCCAUUAAUUUCAAACUCGAGCUGUUAGAAAUACGCAAUCAAUUUCACUUAAAGCUUAUAGAUACAGCGCUCACUGGUCACGAUUGUGACUCGGCCGAACCAACCUCACGCCACAUCGAAUAUGAAUAGGCCCAACCGAGCCUCAUGCCAUUUCGAACGUGACUCGGCCCACUUGACCUCCCGCUACAGGGCAGGAUGCUGACCCAUUUAAGCCAACAGAAUCAGCAAUUUUUUUACGAAUUUUUUAUUUUUAUUUGUCUUUUUUGUCUUGGUUAGCUUCAAUAUUUUUUUGAGGCCGCGUUGCCUUGAACCCUGUAGCAAAAUUCAUUUGCUAAAUGAAUGAAAAUGGUAGUGUGCUACCAUUUUCUCAGUAUUUUUUUUUUUGAAACAUUUUUUUGAAAAAAGAUAGGUACUCUUUGGACCUCAAAAUAGGGAACCUAAUGAUAAUUAUGAACUUUUUUUUGUAUAAUUAAAAGUUAUAUAUAUAAAAAUUUAAUUUUUAUUCUAAUGUAAAAGAAUAGAAUAUUUCAGCUAUUUAUCUUAUUAGGACAACAAUGCUAGAAGACCAAAAUAAGUUAUUUUAUUAUGGACAUUUGACCAAAUUUCUAAUUUUCAAUUACAAUAAAAAAUUCUCAUAAUGAAUAUAAUAUUACUAGAUAGUUUAGUCCAACUUCUGAUCAGAAAAAAGUUAAGAUCUAAGUUGACAUCAUAUUUACUAUUUUAUUUAUUUAAAAUAAAAUUUUACAUAAAAAAGUCUAUACAUGGGUAGUGAAUUAUUUACCAUCUUAUCCAAAAUAUUUUAUUCAAAAAUAAAAAAAAAUAAAAUUUUAAAAUAAUUUUUUCUUCCUCCUAAUUUUUUUAAAAAAAUAUUAUCAUUUAUUACUUACAUUGUCCCUAACGAAAAUAAAGUCUUUUUGCAAGUUUACUAAGUUAUACAAAAUUUAUUAAUGUUUAAAAAUAAAAAAAAAAGCAAUGAUGUGUUACAGGUUUUUUUUUUUUUAUCAGUUAAUAUUAUAUCAUUUAUACUUUCCUUUAAUCUUUUUGAUGUAUAGGUGCUGAAUCAAAAAAUAUAGGUGAGAAAUUUGAAGAUUACAAAAAUUUGGGUCACACCUACACGACUUUAUCUAUAAAUUUUUCACUUUUCGAGAGCGAAAUUAAUAAAAAUUAUUAUUAAAUUUUCACUUUUUGAGAGCCAAAUUAAUAAAAAUUAUUUUUUUUGGAUGUUGCGCAUGCACUUUUUGGGUAGCGAUCAAAUGAAAUAAUUUCUUUUGUUGUGUUUUUAAAAUCAGAGUAAAUAAAUUAUUUUCUUUUCUUUUCUUAAUAGUCAAAAAUUAAAAUUUGCAUCAUGAUCAGAUUGGGGUGGCUAGCAAAUAACAUACGUACACGUGUUAUGAAUUGUGGGCAAUGUAAUAGUUUAUUUCAUGGGGUCGUGAUAGGAGGUUUUUUUUUUAUUACGAAUUAAUUAAUUUUUUAAAAUUUUGAUUUUUUUGCUUGACACGUGUCCUUGACAAAAUCAUACGAUUUUGACGUACGUUGCUUUCGCUGGCACGUGUGGUGAUCUUGUCCCAUCGUUUGAUCCGUCCGCGAAUACGUAUAGGAGUUAGCAACGUGUACAUAACUGUUUCCUUUUUCUAUUUUUUGUUUAAAUUAAGUUCAUUAUUAUAACUCUCUCUUUUUGGUUAAUUAUGUACCAUUUUUUAUUUUUCUAUAAAGUUCAGUUUUUUAUUUUUAUAUAUUUAAAAAUAAUUCUAAUAUUUUUAAAUAUAUUUUUUACUGUUAGAAUUCGUUAAAAAAAUAUAGUUAAUAAUAAGUAAAAUAUUUAACCUUGAUUAGUAAAUGAGUUAAAUUGAUCUUUUUAUUCUUUUUAUAUUAUUGGGUAAAAUAUUUUUUUGGGAGGACAUUUCUGUGUAAUUCUAAAAGUUAGGACUUUAGAGGAAUAUAUUUAUAAGGGUAAAAAUAUCAUUUCAUUCAGUUUAUUUUUCAAGGUUGCAUUCUCACACUCAUUCCUUCCUUUUUGUUUCAUUCAUCCACUAUUAAAAAAUAAAUAGUGUUUUAACGAUAACAAACCAGUAGGACAAAUAUAAAUAUUACCGAUUUUUACAAGAAUAAUAUAAAAAAGUUGAACUUUAUAGAAAUAUAUUUGUAAUUCACUAUAUUUACAGAAAGCUUUAUCCAAUUAAUCCCUAUUUUUUUAAAAAUGCUGCGCAUUCAGAAAAUUCGGUUUUGGAGCUUCUACAAUACUCUUCGUAUUGUAGAGAGAAAUUAAUGACUAGCUAAUGGGAUUUUGAUGUGCAUUUAGAAACCAUAUCUUAGAAACUGUCCCUAAAACCUGUAUAUGUUAAAUCCUAUAAGGGCCUAAGGCUAGGCUCGAACUCUAAAUUUUCAUACAAAUGAUAUGAUGAGAUUGCGUUCCUUCCUAUUCCCUAUAAGGCUGUAAUAAAUAUAACAACAUCAUUAUCUACUAAUUUAGGCGUUUUAGAGAAUAACGGUUAUUUUAUACUAUUUAAUAUGAUCUCAAAGUAAAUUUGAGUCACGUUAGAUUCUUGUUGGAUCGUUGGCGCUAACCAUUAUUCCAAAGUUCGAGUUGUUAGAAAUGCACAAUCAAUUCAUUUAAAACAUAUAAAUACAGUGUCCACAGGUCUCGAUUGUGAGCCUCACACUACUUCGUAUAUAACUUAGUUCAAACCGAGUCUCACGCCAUUUCGAACAUGACUGAGCUCAACCCUGCCUCCUACUAUAGAACAAGACGCUAAUCUAUCUAAGCAAACAUGUUGAUAUAAAUUAGUUUUUUUUUCAUUUAAUUCAAAUCUAUGUCAUGAGUCUAUCAAAAAAGUGUCGAACCCAGACAUGAGAGAUUGUGUUAAAUAUAAAAAUAUCAUUCUCUAUUAGCUUAAGCUUUCGAAGAGCAACGAUUGUUUUAUAUUAGGGAAAACUUUAAAAACCCUUCCUGUGGUUUCGUAGUUUCUCACUUUGCCCCCUGUGGUUUAAAAUGUAUCAAUUUGCCCCCUUGUGGUUUCUUUUUUUUUCUUUUUCUUAUCAAUUUCAUUUUUUUUUUAUAAUUCAGUGAUAAAGUUAAUUUAAAGGGUACUAAAGUGAAUAUUUGAUAAAUCUAGAUGGGUAUCUGAAGUUUUUUUUGUAUAUAAUUUAAUAAAAUAUUAACGAAAAAGUUAUCGAAAAGAUAAAAACGAAACCACAGGGGGGGAAAUUUGAUACAUUUUAAACCACAAGCGGUCAAAGUGAGAAACUAUGAAACCACAGGGGGGUUUUUUGAAGUUUUCCCUUUAUA